UCUAACAUGAUAAAAUUAAUUGAACUGAUAUAUAAAUUCUCAACCUAUUUACACGAAAUUUUGUACUUAACAAUAUUUCCAUUUUUUUUUUAAGUUAUUAGUUUAAAGUGCAUCAAAAUUAUACAUGUAAUUAUAAUGCUCGUCUCGAAUACUUCACAAUCACGGAAAGUUUCAAUUUCUUGUGUAGGCGUGCAGCCAUGAUUAUUUUAUGCGAUAAUGUUAUGCCAUUUCCAAUAAUAAAAGCUGACAUAGUGUAUGCUAUCAAAAAACCUACAUGUAACUGUCGUGAACAAUUAUUGCAUAUUUUUCUAAACAUCCCGUAUAGUCCAAAUUUUUUAAUUUAAACGGCGAUUACCUUGGAAAGAUUGUACAGACACAUUAAACAACAAUAAAAAAAAAUAUGUAAUAGAAGAAUCGUAACAAUAUAUCAAUAAUAUUAUA